GCGCCGGUGGUGUAAUGGCAUAGAUCAUUACCGCCCGGUUAGAAGGAGGUGCGGGUUCGAGUCCCGCCUGGCGCU
rnacentral:tRNA from 1 species